rnacentral:rRNA from 1 species
GACAGAGGCCUCAAGCGUUAGGCGGAAUCACUGGGCUUAAAGCGUGUGUAGGCGGAUCGUUAAGUGUCUUGUGAAAUCCCACGGCUCACCCGUGGAACUGCUGGGCAUACUGGCGAUCUUGGGCCAACUAGGGGCAACUGGAACAAGCGGUGGAGCGGUGAAAUGCGUAGAUAAUCGGGAAAGAACACCAACGGGCGAAAGCACUCAUGCUGGGCCGACACAUGACACUGGAGAGA